rnacentral:lncRNA from 10 species
UGGCUCCCUGAUCAAAUUCAAACCUCUGUUUUGGGAGACAGACAUGGGAAAAAUAUUUACCCCUUUCAUGUUGACACAUGGAUAUACAGGGCAAUUCUGUCAGAAUCUACACGAAGCCAGAGCUGCAUUUUAAGCCAGUAUCAGGGGCCACUGUUUUUGGGGUUGCUUAGGUGACCGUGUUUGGGGUCAGUUGCCUGAUAUAGAGGGAGUGCUAAACAGGGGCUUGUACAGAAGAUGACUUGGGGAGUUUGAGUCCACUUACCCUUCUCUACACUGUGAGAAGCAAUAACAUUCUUGUUAACCAGUAGUAUAUAACAUUAUCUCACUUAAUCCUUCCAGCAACAGCUCUCUUAAGUUAAAACUAAUAUUAGCCUUAUUGUACGGAUGGAGAAACUGAUACCAAGAGGAGGCUAGAAUAGUUGUGCAAGUCAGAGUCAGUGGGAAAACCAGAUUCAAGCUGAGCAACAAAACAGAAGAGACUCUGAUCUUGUAUAUCACUGGAGGAUUGAGGAAUUGGAGGAGCAUCUUCCAGGGAACGUCUCUGUUGACUGUGGACCAGAAUGCUCUUCAUCUGUCCUCCUGGCUAUCUCCUUCUCAACUGUCAUGUGUCCUCCCCAGGGUGGCCUUCUCUGAUCACUCAAGCCAAAGGAUAUCUCAGCAUCCUGUACGGUUUUUUCAAGGAGCAAUACAAAGUUCAGACACGUUCUGAGGUUGAGUUUUGGUGACUUUAGCAGAAAGUCAGAAGAAAGCUGACAAUUUCCUUUUCUUCAGUGAUGUGCAUGGUUUCCAGGCCUUUCUCUGGACCUAUGAUUCACUGCCAUGGAGUGGAACUUUAACACCCCUAGACUGUGGAAGCUCAUCCAGCUUUCAACAGUAUCACCUAGAGGCAAUGAAAAGCAAUCAGAAUCACAGACCAACCUCAUGCCAAGAGAAUCUUCAUUCAGUUGUGGUCUGCUUUGUACUGCUUGAGCAUUUGGGGUUUGAAAAAUUAAGGAAAAGAAUAGGGGGAAGCCCCAAGAUGAAAAUACUGGUUUUCUUGCCAAUGUUUUAAAAGCAGCUCAAGACUUAAAUUUGAGUUGAAAAUUUCUUAUAGCAAAUGUGACUUUUGGGCUUCUAAAAACAAGUCAUCCUGGUUAUGCCUGGUUGUUGAAAGUCUGCAUAAUUAUGUUAUCUUAUGGACAUGUUUGUAUCUCUUCAAAAUUCAUAUGUUGAAGCCCUAACUCAGUGUAACUAUAUUUGGAGAUAGGGACUUAAUGAAAUAACGAAAGUUAAAUGAGGUCAUAAGAAUGGGGCCCUGAUUCAAUAGGAUUAGUGUCCUUUUAAGAAGAGAUAAAAGAGAGAGCUUUCCACCCUGUCAUCCCCCUUCCAGCUCCCAUGCAGAGCAUGCACAACAGAAGAGAUCAUGGGAGCACAGAGAGAGAGGGUGGCUGUCUACUUGUCAAGAAAAGAGGUCUCAGAACUCAUCAUUUUUUAUGGCUGCAUAGUAUUCCAUGGUGUAUACGUGCCACAUUUUCUUAAUCCAGUCUAUCAUUGUUGGACAUUUGGGUUGGUUCCUCACUUUUGUUGAAUUUAAUAAAUUUGAAUUUUAAAAUCUAAAAAAAGAAAAGAAAAGAAAAUAGGUCUCAGAAUGCAACCCACAUUGCUGCCAUGUUGAUACUGGACUUCUAGCAUCUAGCAAUGUGAGCAAUACAUUUCUGUUGCUUAAGCCAUCCAGCCUGUAGUAUUUACAGUACCCCAUGCUGACUAAUACAUUAAUCUUAGUUAGAGAAUCUGCUAUUUAUAGGGCAAUAAAUGUGUCCAGGCUUGGUAAUUAGAGAGACGGGGGUUAAAGUCUUGUCUCUGCCAUUUGUUUGCUGUGAAUUUUAGGUGCAUUUUCUUGCUUCUGAGAUUGUAUUCCAUCAUAUGUAAAAUGGAGAUUUUAAUAAGACCUUCAGUGUAAAGAUUAAAUGAGAUAAUAGAUAAAAAUGCAAAUAUAAAUGAGGGACUAGCAUAGUUGAUAAUCUGACCAAUACCAUUUAUCGAAUGUCUGCCUGAGCAUAGUAGUGCUAUCAGGUUUAUUUUGAUGUGGCCACCUCCCAGACCCUCACCCCCACCCAGAAUUGGAGGCAGGAGAAUUGAAAUGGGAAAUAUCUUUCUGAUUACCCUUUUCCUCACAAAUUGUAACCAAAAGGAUUUUCAAAAAUUUCCCCUAAAUUGUUAUGGUACUACCUUAGGGCAACAUGCUUUAUGGUCUAGCUGGGUUAUUACGAAAAAUAUAUUUAAUUUUUUUCUCCAGAUCCCUGGAGAAAGGAGAUGGUACUUUCAAACAGAAUAAGAGAACUUUGAAGAGACUUAACAAAGGGACUAGUUCCAAAAGUAUGGUGUGGAUUUAAGGAAAUAACAAGAGAUAGUGCAGUAUUCUGAAGUAUCCAAUGAGGAGCUGUUACCACCCCGGGUCUAAAGGGUCAAGGGGAGGGACCAGCCACUAGAAGUAGAUAGGAUAACUGUACGAAUAGGGAGGUUUGACUCGAGCUAUGACUAGUAGUGGAAGAACACAACCAACUUAGGGGCACCCUGGCCAUGAGGGAGCUGAGGAAACAAAUAUUCAACUUCACUCUUCUAUCUUCUGAUCUCUUCCUGUCCUCUCAUUGGCUGAACCCAACCAGAAACCAUGGACACUCUGGUUCAUACACUGGUUGAUGGACGCCAUAUGUGUUAGUCCCCUGGGGAAUACCCAGCAAACUGGAGACAGUGGACAGUCUCCACUGAAAUUGGGAGGUUAAUGCAAGCUAUCCAGGACAGGAGUCUUCUCAAUACUUCUCAACUUCUCAGUAUAUAUAUAGAGAGAGCUCUAUAUUUGAUUUCUCCAUAUUUGUUUCUUGAUAUGUUAAAGGAAUAUAGAACUAUAGUCAAUGAUAAUUGUACAUUUAAAAAUAACAGAGUGUGAUUGGAUUGUAACACACAGGAUACUUGAGGGGAUGGAUGUCCCAUUCUUAAUGAUGUGAUUAUUACAUAUUGCAUGCCUGUAUCAGAACAUCUCAUGUACCCCAUAAAUAUAUACACCUGAUGUGAACCCACAAACAUUAAAAAUUACAAAAAUUACAAAAUAAAAGAAUAUAGAACAUUUUCUUUGUUUCCCCCAAACAAUUCUCAAGUUUAAUAUUUACCCUGGAGUGAUACAUUUCUACCUUGGAGCAGAAGGCUGCAAGGACACGUGAUUUAAGAGAAGAAUGUACAGACACAGUGUUUGAGAAAUACUUUCUGCAUUGCACUGACUUGUCCUGUUGACUCAUCCAUGGCUGUGGGUCCUUUAAUCAUAGUUCUCUGGGGCCAUCCAUAUGGCCAUAUCUCUUUGUCACUGGAGACAAAAGACUAUUUGGGCAUGAUCUCCCC